rnacentral:snoRNA from 1 species
UGCGCUGUGGUAUCUGCACUCAGCAGUUUAUUCCUGCUGGUGUGUUCAAAGGACAGUGCAUAGAAAUUCAGUACAUGGCAUCGUUGGUUUUUCUUGCCUUUGUGCAUGUUAACCUGGUAUUUAAUAUUGACACAUUA